rnacentral:misc_RNA from 1 species
GAUGAAGAACGUAGCGAAAUGCGAUACUUGGUGUGAAUUGCAGAAUCCCGUGAACCAUCGAGUCUUUGAACGCAAGUUGCGCCCGAAGCCAUUUGGUUGAGGGCACGUCUGCCUGGGCGUCACAUAUCGUUGCCCGAUGCCUAUUGCACUAAGAUAGGAAAUUCUAGGGCGAAAGAUGGCUUCCCGUGAGCGUUGUUGCCUCGCGGUUGGUUGAAAAUCGAGUCCUUGGUAGGGUGUGCCAUGAUAGAUGGUGGUCGAGUUUGCACGAGACCGAUCAUGUGUGCGCUCCCCAAAAUAUGGACUCUUUGACCCCACACGCGUCUUUUGACGCUCAUGACGAGACCUCAGGUCAGGCGGGGCUACCCGCUGAGUUUAAGCAUAUCAAUAAGCGGAGGA